rnacentral:rRNA from 1 species
GAUGAACGCUGGCGGCGUGCCUAAUACAUGCAAGUCGAGCGAAUGGAUUAAGAGCUUGCUCUUAUGAAGUUAGCGGCGGACGGGUGAGUAACACGUGGGUAACCUGCCCAUAAGACUGGGAUAACUCCGGGAAACCGGGGCUAAUACCGGAUAACAUUUUGAACCGCAUGGUUCGAAAUUGAAAGGCGGCUUCGGCUGUCACUUAUGGAUGGACCCGCGUCGCAUUAGCUAGUUGGUGAGGUAACGGCUCACCAAGGCAACGAUGCGUAGCCGACCUGAGAGGUUGAUCGGCCACACUGGGACUGGGACACGGCCCAGACUCCUACGGGAGGCAGCAGUAGGGAAUCUUCCGCAAUGGACGAAAGUCUGACGGAGCAACGCCGCGUGAGUGAUGAAGGCUUUCGGGUCGUAAAACUCUGUUGUUAGGGAAGAACAAGUGCUAGUUGAAUAAGCUGGCACCUUGACGGUACCUAACCAGAAAGCCAUGGCUAACUACGUGCCAGCCGCCGCGGUAA